rnacentral:rRNA from 1 species
UACGUAGGGGGCAAGCGUUGUCCGGAAUCAUUGGGCGUAAAGCGCGCGUAGGCGGCCCGGUAAGUCCGCUGUGAAAGUCAAAGGCUCAACCUUUGAAUGUCAGCGGAUACUGCCGGGCUAGAGUCCGGAAGAGGCGAGUGGAACUCCUGGUGUAGCGGUGGAAUGCGCAGAUAUCAGGAAGAACACCAACGGCGAAGGCAGCUCGCUGGGACGGAACUGACGCUGAGGCGCGAAAGCGUGGGGAGCAAACAGG